CCUGGGGUGUAGCUGCCUUUAGAGUGGGUAGGGGCCUUUAAGACAGCUGAGUUAGAAAACAGGUCAAGCUGCUGUAAUAGUGACUCAAAAGACAGUGUCUGACAUACCGGGGAGUUUUCCACUCUCUUUUGCGAUAAGCUACAGGCAGGUGGGUAGUCGGGGUUAUCUACCCCACACAGGGGGUGCUGCUCUGCCACUGUGAGCACAGGCGUUCCACUGCAGGCUGCAUGAGGGCUGCUUCAGGGGUGGCCCAUCUCCAGCUGGUGAGAGAGAGAAGAUCCUGCAACCAAGAGGAGGACUCCAAACUGGGAAAGAGCAGGAAGCUGUGUCUUACUGUCACUGUAGUCCCAGCACCCGGCAUAGUGCCACACACAUGACAGAUGGGUAAGUGCCCAGAAAUUAUUUCAUUAGAUUGAGUUAAUUAAGUAACGUGU
rnacentral:lncRNA from 13 species